AGCAAAUUGCGAAGAUCCAGUAUUAGGAGUGAGGUGAGUGACUACAGAGGCUACUUUCCGAGCGUGGGAACCGGCAGGGCCACCGAGGCACCCUACUCGGUCGCAGGAUUCGGGAAGAGGGGUCCCCUCGCUAAAGGAAGAGAGGGCGUGAACUCUGUCGACCAGUCAGAGUGACACACCAAAGCUUCUGAACCAAUCAGCGGGGCGGUCCUGCGGCAGCCUUCCAAAGCGGAGCAGAGAGGGGCUGAAUAGAGCCAAUGAGAUAACCGAAAUGGGACACGUGCUGAAGCGGGGCAGAAGGACUCGCUGCGUCCGGCCCUCUGGCGUGCGCCCCGGGUUCGAUGGGAGUCCGACUGACUUCUCUCGGGCUGCCGGUGGCUUGUACAAGGCUGGAAACCUGUCCGCUACCAGACUCCUCGACCCCGCAGGGCCACAGCGCGGCCAGCCCCCUGCUUCUUCCCGGGGGCUGCGGCCCCUGGAAUGAGCCUGCCUUCCAGCUUCUUGGCCAGGACCCAGCCGCUCUCCACCUACCCUCCAGGCGCGGGGCCGGCCAGCUUCUUAGCUUCCUUGCAGAUUACGAUCAAUGCAAGAUAAAACCUGAGCUGGCCAACGCUUAGCUUUUCAUUUAAAGCCUUUGGCCGCAAAACCAGUUGUUCCUGAGCCUUUUACCCCCAAGUAAAAAUUUCAGCUUUCUUUGCAAAA